CGUCUACAGUUUUGAAACGUGUCCAGAAUGGCUUCUCUUGAAGUGCACCACCUACUGUCAGGGGUUUGUACUGCAGCUUUUAUAAACCCGUGGGAAUGAAAACCAACAGCAUCGCUAAUAUUUCAAACUUGUUGGGAACAGACUGAUUGUAAGUGAUCGUAAGCGGCACAGCAGCCUUCACCGUUAGCUCGCGCUGUCCUGUCGCUAUGUGAUGAUGCCGCUGAAAUUGUCUUCUUACAUUUGUGAGCGUCGUUAACGUUUCAGCAACGGACGAGUUUGUUUUCUGUGGAAUUCAUGACCAUCUGUGAGUUUGCCCAGACUGCCAUCAGGAGGUGACGUAGUUGAUCGAGUGAUCCGUGCAAAUGUGUCAACACGCGAUUACAAGUAAACGGCAUCUAAAAUCGUGGAACUAAAUUUUUUCUGGCUGAAUCCAACGGGUUCAAAAACAGAUCAGUGUAGUUUGGAGUCAAUUAUGAGACAGUUCGCGAUUAGCUGAUUAUUUGUGUUGCGACUGAAGUGACUCACUAGGCUAACCCAAUUGUAAAAGGUUACAAAGAUGGCUAGCAUAGCUAGUUAGCAUGUGACUGACUCAAAACUAACUUAAGGUGUUCUACUAAAAUGUCUGUCGAGUAACCGCUACGUUAACCAGUGAGUGAUGUCAACUGAAUAUUUUAAACGUUUGGUUGUAAUAUUCGAGCUUUAUGCAUGAUGAUUAGCUUCACACUAAGAAUGCAUCAGGUCAGGUCUGGGAGCGUGUGCUGGUGCCGUGCAUCGUCACAUGCACCACACCGCAGAACCGUCCCAGGUCCUUGUUGGUCCAGUUGUUCUUCACCUCUCCAAAGGAACCAUCUUUGUGCUGCAGCCAGUAGAAUAUGGGCGUGUCCUUGACCUUCUCCAGCCUCUGAGGCCCUCAAGGCUGAGGUACCUGUCUAGAGAACCGCACCACAUGGACAAAACGUCAUCGCUGCCAUUCGCUCACAAUGCCUCAGUCGAGUCUCCCAAACAUUCACCGUUUGUUUAGAAUUACUCAAGGAUCCUCCUCAGACACCUGAUACCAAGACAUCCAGUCACCUUAGGUCACUGCUGAGAGUCCACGUCUCACAACCGUACAGUAAGACAGGAAGCACCAGGACCCUGAAGACUUGGACCUUCAUUCUCCUACGAAGAUAUCAACAUGUGACCUUUGACCUCACGAGUGAAUAAGCUCCUCCCAGGCAUCUUUAGAUUUGAGCAGUCGAGGAUCCAGAAAUAUGAACGCCACAAUGACGGAUCAAAAACCAGAAGAUGUGUCUACAUCACUAAGCUUUCCGCUUCUUCAAAACCACACAGAUUAAAUUAGCACUGCUGAUCAAUAACACGUCAACGGGCCCUCUCACACCUUGACUAUUUAGCCAGCGUAUGCUGACAGCCCCAUUUCCACCGAGUGGUUUGGGUCAGUACUGCUUGGUGUGGUACGUCUUGGAACAGUUAGUCUGGCUUGGUUUGUGUUUCCACUGCCAGCACCCUUUUGUUUGGCAGGUGGAACACUUAAAUACUGACGAGCAUGCAUAUGCUGUCACAUGGCCCUGCCCCCUCCACACGGAGGCAAAACAGAGUAAUUUAACAUUAUUUUGUUUUUGUGUUGGUGGAUCAUGGGAUUUCUUUUCAUCGUGUGCAGAAUGAUGAAGAGUCAUCUGAUGUCUGUGAUAAAUGAUGACAUGAAUGAAUGAGGCGCUGUGACUCUUUCAACUUUUAAAAGAAAUUAAUUUCCUUGUUGUGGCACAAAGCACCGGUGUUCUCUGGUUCUGGCUGAGAAACACACAAAACACAGAGGGACUUCUUUUAAAACGGUACAUUUCUUCAGCCACGACAAGGAAUUAAAGUAUUUUCAGACGUUGUUUUGUAAAAUGAGGACGCUUUACGUGGAUAAGUUUUCGUCAGGCUGUGAUGAUGAAUCCAACUGAAAAGAAUAAGUCAGAUUAAGACUUUAUAUACGGAACGUAUGAGUAACAUGCUGGCAUGUCGAAAAUACUGUGCAUGCAUACUGUGCAUGCUCAAAAUUUUUUUGAGGUACUCGCCGUACUACGCUGUGUAUCCGCGUGCUUCAAUGUGCUCUUAUACAAAACUCACCCAUAACUUCUUAGACCUACGCCAGUGUUUUUAAUACGUUCAGCAUACGCUGGCUAAAUCGUCAUGGUGUGACAGGGGCGUACCAUUCUGUAGUUUAAGUUCGCUCUGACAGAAUUGUUGGUGUUGUUCUGGAAUUUAUACAUCCAAAUGGGCGACGCCCACGUGUGUUGGUGAUACCAGCAAUUUAAACCCAUCUGAGGCUGAAUCUCAGCAGUAACACAGAUUCUGUACCGCUGUUGUUGCUGUAUUUUACCGUUUCUCAGACAUCUUGAUGCACAUCAAACAGCGCCACCUGGUGUUGCAAUAAAAGUCUCAUAUUUGACUGUUGUCUUGCUGCUGGAGCGACAGAAUGACCCUGAUGUUUGGUUCAGGAUUCUCUGCAGAGACUGCGUCCUCUCAGAAAGCAUUUUCUUGUCUUUUUCCUGUUAUUGUAUG